rnacentral:rRNA from 1 species
AACCGGGAUUAAAACCUCAUAAUGCGAACACAUGCAAAGAUUCGGUAUGGGAUGGGCCUGCGUCUGAUUAGCUAGUUGGUGGGGUAACGGCCUACCAAGGCAACGAUCAGUAGCCGAGGGGAGAGGGUAAUCGGCCACAUUGGAACUGAGACACGGUCCAAACUCCUACGGGAGGCAAGAGUGGGGAAUAUUGCACAAUGGGCGAAAGCCUGAUGCAGCAACGCCGCGUGAGCGAUGAAGGCCUUUGGGUCGUAAAGCUCUGUCCUUGGGGAAGACUGACGGUACCCAUGGAGGAAGCCCCGGCUAACUACGUGCCAGCAGCCGCGGUAAUACGUACGGGGCAAGCGUUAUCCGGAAUUAUUGGGCGUAAAGAGUGAAUACGUGGUUUUGUAAGCGCGGGGUGAAAGGCUAUGGAUCAACCAUAGUAAGC